CCUACGGGAGGCUGCAGUGGGGAAUUUUCCGCAAUGGGCGAAAGCCUGACGGAGCAAUACCGCGUGAGGGAGGAAGGCUCUUGGGUUGUAAACCUCUUUUCUCAGGGAAGAACAAAAUGACGGUACCUGAGGAAUAAGCAUCGGCUAACUCCGUGCCAGCAGCCGCGGUAAUACGGAGGAUGCAAGCGUUAUCCGGAAUUAUUGGGCGUAAAGCGUCCGCAGGUGGCAAUUCAAGUCUGCUGUUAAAGGUUCUGGCUCAACCAGAAACAGGCAGUGGAAACUGAAUAGCUAGAGUGCGGUAGGGGCAGAGGGAAUUCCCAGUGUAGCGGUGAAAUGCGUAGAGAUUGGGAAGAACACCGGUGGCGAAAGCGCUCUGCUAGGCCGUAACUGACACUCAUGG
rnacentral:rRNA from 1 species